UUGUGGGUCCGUGGCUCAGUGGUACAGCAUCAGCUUUGAGUGUUAAAGGUCCCAGGUUCUAUCCCUAGGUCCAGAAA